rnacentral:misc_RNA from 1 species
GACAACAUGAGAAUAAGUUUUGGAAAAUAAGUUGGAAGUAAAGCUUUAUGACACAUUGAGUGGGACAAAGUCUAUGUUCCCAUUACAAAAUAACUAAUUUACCCAAAUAUCCCUUUCUUCAAGAAGAAAUCCAAUGCUCCCAUUGUAUUCAUUCAGGUCCCAUUUACAUAUCUCAACCAUUCACAUUGGUAUUAGCAUCAUGUGAGAACAUUUAUUCCUCAAUGAUGUUUUCGGAGCAGAAAGAAGGUUAGUCAAUUCUCAAGGUCACAAAAAUGAUGGCUUUAUCCGAUCCACACAUCAGACUAACCAUAUUUCAAAUGCCCAUCCCUUGUGGAACCCCCUCCCUCCUCAGGCCAGGUAUUCUUUGUCAUUUAUUUUACUAAACCCCUACUGGUGUUACAACUGUUUCCCUUUUAUAUAUCUCAGUUUCUUUGAGAACUUGGGUAUUGUAAUAUAUUCAUUCCACUGCCGCGUUCUGUUUCAAUAAUUGUCUUUUCAACUCUACAUCUUAGAGCGCUUCAAAUAGAUCAAUACACCAAUGCUUGUUAGAACAAUGGCAGCAGCAAAUGCACCAGAAUAUAAAGGCAACGAUCCACG